GAUGAAGAACGCAGUGAAAUGCGAUAAGUAAUGUGAAUUGCAGAAUUCAGUGAAUCAUCGAAUCUUUGAACGCACCUUGCGCCUUUUGGUAUUCCGAAAGGCACACCUGUUUGAGCGUCAUGAAUACCUCAAUCUCCAUCUUUUCUUCGGAUUGAUGGGUGACUUGGAUGUUGAGUCCUGCUGGUAUGCUAUAUCAGCUGGCUUUAAACUUAUUAGCCGGCUCUGUACUGGAUCGGUUUGACUCGACGUGAUAAUAUUAUCGUUGAGGAUGCAUGUCUCAUGCAGCCGGAAAGUAUCAAAGCAGCUUCUAGCUUGCCUUUAGUGCACUUUUACAUUUUAGACCUCAGAUCAGGUGGGACUACCCGCUGAACUUAAGCAUAUCAAUAAGCGGAGGA
rnacentral:misc_RNA from 1 species